rnacentral:tRNA from 1 species
UCCGCUUUGGUGCAGUAGUGGUGCAUCAGUCUCGCAAGCUGAAGGUCGGAGUUCGAUCCUCCGAAGGAGGG